CCUACGGGUGGCUGCAGUGGGGAAUAUUGCACAAUGGGGGAAACCCUGAUGCAGCGACGCCGCGUGAAGGAAGAAGUAUUUCGGUAUGUAAACUUCUAUCAGCAGGGAAGAAAGUGACGGUACCUGACGAAGAAGCCCCGGCUAACUACGUGCCAGCAGCCGCGGUAAUACGUAGGGGGCAAGCGUUAUCCGGAUUUACUGGGUGUAAAGGGAGCGUAGGCGGCGAUGCAAGUCCGAAGUGAAAGCCCGGGGCUCAACUCCGGGACUGCUUUUGAAACUGGAUGGCUAGAUUGCAGGAGAGGCAAGUGGAAUUCCUGGUGUAGCGGUGAAAUGCGUAGAUAUUAGGAGGAACACCAGUGGCGAAGGCGGCUUGCUGGACUGUAAAUGACGCUGAGGCUCGAAAGCGUGGGGAGCGAACAGGAUUAGAUACCCCUGUAGUC
rnacentral:rRNA from 1 species